GCGGGGAUAGCUCAGCUGGGAGAGCGUCAGACUGAAGCCUUAUUAACUUCAUUCAUUUAUCUGAAGGCCGUGUGUUCGAUCCACACUCACCGCA